rnacentral:rRNA from 1 species
GACGAACGCUGGCGGCGUGCUUAACACAUGCAAGUCGAACGAAAAGAGGGAAAGAGCUUGCUCUUUCCGGAAUUGAGUGGCAAACGGGUGAGUAACACGUAAACAACCUGCCUUCAGGAUGGGGACAACAGACGGAAACGACUGCUAAUACCGAAUAAGUUCCAAGGGCCGCAUGGCCCAUGGAAGAAAAGGUGGCCUCUACCUGUAAGCUAUCGCCUGAAGAGGGGUUUGCGUCUGAUUAGCUGGUUGGAGGGGUAACGGCCAACCAAGGCGACGAUCAGUAGCCGGUCUGAGAGGAUGAACGGCCACACUGGAACUGAGACACGGUCCAGACUCCUACGGGAGGCAGCAGUGGGGAAUCUUCCGCAAUGGGCGAAAGCCUGACGGAGCAACGCCGCGUGAGUGAUGACGGCCUUCGGGUUGUAAAACUCUGUGAUCCGGGACGAAAAGGCAGAGUGCGAAGAACAAACUGCAUUGACGGUACCGGAAAAGCAAGCCACGGCUAACUACGUG